AGAUAUUCAGGGCAGGGGAAGGCGCCUUUCCGCAUUUGGUGUAGUCCCGCAUGCUGCCAUAUGAUGGCGCCAGAGAACGCGCCUACAGAGAUAGGGCGGGGCCAGGAGGCGAGGAAGAAAAAAAAGCGACAAGUGAAGAUUGACAUCCAUUAAGGCCAAUGGUAGCUCAAUCUUCGGUUCUCUGACUCCCAAGCUUCUCAUUCUCUUAGGAGGCUGCAUUUGUGGCGCUAAAAAAAGGGAUGGGCGUGGGAGAUUCCAGGACAUGUGCUCGCUGAAGAUACAACUGUUAGUCCAAGCAGGUGUUUCUGGCGCUGACAGCUGGGAGCUACCGGGCAGGAGUAGGGGUGAAGAGAGAAUAGGGAGAGAUAACGGGUGUGAAGCGUCCCUCAAUGCCAGGCAUCCUGCUUUGGCACCUUCCGACUCUGGAAAGGCACCGCAAGUUUGGUUUUGAAAUCUCUAGAAUUUUAGUGCUGUCCAUUCUCCCAAGUGGAUGCCUUUAUUGAAGCUCCUGCAUCAGCAGUGCUUGUGCCUGAUAGGUGAUGAUCAUGAGGGGGACCAGGAGCCUCUAGACUUAGAGACAAGUUGCCAGCAUUCUCCAGAUGGAGUGUUUCCCUCCCCAGCACCCCCUGCUGGUCAGUUUGACAAGCAGAUGAACAGAAGUUCUCAAAUACACAAUCAGAUAACCCCAACAUCACCAGAAAUAUCAAGUAGUGACGACAUUUUGUCAAAUUGUCUUUAUUUUUUGUCUGCAUCAUCUGUUGCUUUCUGAGGGAAGUUUUUUGAGUUCUCCCACUGAGACUGUGGAUUUGCAUUGUUCUUUUGUAUGUCUGCCAGCUUUUGCCAUGUAUAGUUUGUAGUUGUGUUGUGUUGUGAGGCAGAUUCAUGACCUAUGUUGUGGGAGAAUUUCUGUAUUUAGCAGAUGUUCAACUUACGUUCUAUUUUGCCUAGUGUUGAUGGUAUUACUUUGCUUUUCAGUUUCACAUUCAUUUAGUAUAUCUUUUUCCUUUCCGUGAACCCUUGUGUGUUGUUUAUUUCAGAUAUGCUUUCUUAUGUACUGACAGUGACCCCCAUAUUCAUAUGUUGAAGACCCAACUCCCAAUGGACUUGGAGGUGGGCCUUUGAGAAGUAAUUGGGUUUAGAUUAAGUCAUAAGGGUGUAGCCCCCAUGACAGUAUUAAGUCCUUCUAGAAAAGGAAGAGAGUCUGAGCUCUCCUCUGUCUCCACCAUGUGAGGGCACAGAGAUGUAGGCUUCUUGGACUUUGUUUUUAACUCAGUAUGAAAAACAUAUAUUUUAAUAAGAAAAUUACUCCAUUCAUUUUUAGUGUGUUUGUUGAUAAUUUUGGACUUACUUGUGCCAUAUUUAAGAAAUCCUUUUUCCUCUUUCCCAUGCUUUCUUGUUGUUUUUUUUAAUCUAAGUGCAUGAUAAGGUUUAGGGAUCACUUUUAACAGGGCAACGAAGGGCUAGAUAAGGGAAGCUGGCUUGUGUUCAGGGAAGUGGCAGAGGAGGGAAGCUGGCAGCUGGGCUCUGCUAAGAUGACCUUAGCCCCAGACCCCGGAUGAACAACCUCUUCUGGAUACAGGACCUGCCUGAGGCACCAUUUUGAAAUAGGCAAAUUUUAUUUGCUGUGUGUUCUUUCAUUAUCUGUAUUAGCAUUUGCCUCUUGAGUGCCAAAAUAUAGCUCUUUUUAUAUUACCCCAAGUUCCUGAGUUUAUUUUUUAGGUAAGAAUUUUCCACCCUUUGAAAUCCCAAAUGACAUGUUUACUGUUUUUCUCAGACCAUGCUUUCAUUGCAGUCAAUGUAACAAAUCAGCCAGGUCUUAGGAGUUUAGAAAUCUGAUUGGAUUGAUUUAUACUAAGCUGUAACAGAUCCACCAGAGCCUUCCAAGAUGAACUGGAGUUUUUUAAAAACUCCAUGACCUACACUAUUCUUUAGGUGCUGGAAUUGCAAACUUUCAAAUCGCAUCAAGUAUAAACAUUCAAUUUUGUGGAGGUUUAUUUUUUGUGGAGAGUUGAGGUGUUGGUUAAUACUGGUAGACUUUACUCCAAAAGACAAUUCUAUUAAGAUUUCUUUUGUUUUUUAAAAUCUAGACUAUCAGAAGGAGUAAAAAUGCCAAUUUUUUUUCUUUUUUCUGUGGCUACAAUGUUCACAGUAAUCCAAGCUCCAAUGACAGGGUGGGAGAGCAGAGUCAAAUGAGGCCACGUUUUAUUCAUGAAGUGUAUUUUUCUUUUUUUUUUUUUGAGAUCAGGGAUUCAGAAAUUGUAAUAUAAGUGUUCAAUUAUAAAGUUAUUAUUAUAGUACAUGGCACAUGUCCUUUCCAUCAUCUGGAUUUUUCCACUUUUACUGUAUGGCUCACUCUUAAUCACUCUCCAGUCUUCGCCUUAGUGGUCACUUCUCCCUGGAAUGCCCGUGACCCCUUAAGAUAGCAGUGCUGCAAACAUCAAAAGCUUAAUUUAUAACCAGACUCACAGGCAACACCUUGUCCUGUGCCAUGCUUCACUAAUGAUGAGGAAGUGAGAAAGAGUAGGGGAAAGGAGGCACAACAAAUGUCAUUUCCACAGCAGAGGCCUCAAGGCCAGCCCACUUGAUUCUCUGGAGAUCCUUUUCUGCAUAACAAUGAUGAAAGGUAGUCUAGGAAAGCCGUUUGCCUGAGGCUUCACCAUUGAUACCUUGCUAGUCACUAAACUAAGAGACUGAUUCCAUUCUUUAGUAUAGCCAUUGCCUCAUAAAUCCAUACAUAGCCGGGGUAUUUAUUUCCAAUAAAGUAUCCAAAUAGAUGAGGUAUAUUCUAUUGACAAUUUUAUUAAAGUUCUUCAUUUAUCUUCAAGAUAGUAGAUUCUAUCAACCAAGUUUCAUAAAGAGUUCUGAUUCCUAGAGGUAAAAAUUGAGCCUGGCUUCCUAGUUACAUGUUUACUGGAAACGCCGUCCUUCCCUACAAGACUUAAGCAUAUUUGAAGACUAUACCCUCCCCUGCCUCCAGCUUGGAUUGUAAGCUCCUCAAGAGCAUGGCUGUGUCUUUUAACAUCAAGUCUCCAUGUGAGAAAGAGUUCCUGCCAUAUCACAGAUGCCCAAUUAACUUUUUUAAGUGAAGAAAGCUAUUCUGUGGUGUCUGCUUUAAUAUUAAGAGAUGGCUUGCCCAAGAUUGCUAAGCAGCUUCAUUGUCUACAAUGGAACAAGAUUCUGUGGUUGGCAGGUCCAUUGGUGCCACUGACAGGAGGCCUCAAGGAAACCUACUGCCCUAAUAAUUCUGAUAGUGACUUGAUUUUCUUCCAGCACAGAGAGGUAAAAUGGAAUAUUCUUCUGACACAGAUACUUCAUGUAUCGCACCAACGUCCGUGUCGCAUUGCCUCUCCUUCGGUAUUUUUCCACGCUGUAGCUCUUUCCUAUUUCACAAGAAGGGUCCAUGGUUAUCCAUGAGACCGGGACUCCCUCUGGGCCCAGCAUACAGGCUGCUGGCAGGGCUCCUAGGCAGCGCUUGAUGUAAUGCAGGCUCCUCUUAUUCAUCCCUAGCUUCCAGUUGUCAUUUACCAGCCCAGAAUAAGACACAUCCAGCUGGGCAUACUUAAAGUUGGGAGUCUCGCUGUAGAAAACAAAAAGAAAGACAACAACUUUCAUCCCCAGUCCUGUAAUUUCUAGGUGCCAUCCCAAUCUAGAGAUCCCAGGCCCUCUUCUUGUUAAAAGACCCACCAUUGCAAAGUGGCAUAUUUUGACCAUUGACAACCUUUAUUCAUCCCAAGGAAUGAAUUCAUCAUCUCUUCAUUCCGAAACUGAUUUAUGUGAAUUACAAAAAUGUACGAGGAAUAGCAAUUAUAAAUGAUCAGCACAUGUUUUUUGUACCUCUCCAAUUCAUCAUCUGGGUGGCCUGUCUCAGCCCAGCUUCCAAGCUUGCUUUUAUUGGAGGCAUGGAGCUUCAGGAUGUCUUCCGUAAUAAAGAGGAGUGCUCUGGAAUGCUCUACCUUCACUGAAUUUGAAAAUGCAGCCGCUCUUAUUCCCUCACCUAAACUUUCUUGAAGACCUGGGAGAAAGCCAAGAAAGCAAUAUUGUCAGACGUGGAGUUCUCUACUUACACUGCUCCCACCUGGUUAAUACCUCAGUGCUUAGCAGUUCUCAAAGUUGAGUUUACACCACAGUCAGAUGGAGUCCUUGGCACACCACAGAUUGCUCCACCUCUCCCAGCUCCCAGAGUUUCUAUGAAUUUACAUUUCUAAUGAUCUCUCAGGUGAUGCUAAUGCUGUUAGCUGAAGACACAAUUUGAGAAGCACAGCUGCUUGCCCAUUUCUUCAGACUUGUUACCUUGGAUUUGGAGUUUCUGUUUCCAGUUUAUGAUCUCACAAUUUUUCAAAACUUCUUGUGAUUUUUGAGGCUCUUUGGAGAAUAUACGAUAUACAUUAGUGUAUGAAUCCAUGUCAUCAGUCAUCUCCUGUAUAGGAUGGUGAAAGGUCAGAUCAUUCCCUUGAACUUUUUCUUCUCCUCUCACCGAUUGCAAUUAUCAGAAAAAUGAAAAUUCAAAAGAAAAUUUUAACACUAGCCCGCGAUGGCUGCAGUUGGGCACAUGGAUAAUAGAACCAGGGCCUAUAAGCUACUGCUGACCUCUUACCUGUGUAACUGGAGUUUGUUAAAUAUUGAACACUGACAGGUACUGGAUAUAAACCUGCUUAUCAGAUACAUAACAAAGACAGGAUGAAAUCAGUCACCCUCCACCAGACCUUAAGAUGCCUCACCUUUCUCCUUACCCACUCAAUUGCACACUUACCUAAUUUUAUAUAUAGCAUCACAGAGCGCCCAGCAGAACCAAAGGAAUGCAACAAUUGCUUCUCUCCCUGCUUCUCUCACCUCCUGGGCCACAAAUAUCCCCCUGUUAUAUAUACUGUGCCCCACGUAACCUCCUGUGGGACAUAUUCUGGGUUGUACUGAGUCUGUGUUGAUAGGAUUAAGUUCUUAAACUUGACACAAGAUGAAUUUAACCGUGAUUUCUCUAAGUUUUAGUGCCUACUGUUUCACCAGACACCUACAAUCUAUACUGUUCUAGAAUGUAGUGUCCAGGGUUUGAGCAAGAUACUUUAGUGAAUAUAAACAUUAAUGAGACAUUGCGUUUUCCCAAGGCUACAAGAUAUCAGCCUAUUUGAAGAGUGACAUGGCCUUUACAGCCAGAAGCCCACAGAAUAGAAUGAAGUCACUGAAGUUUUGGGAGCACUCUGCACAACUUCUGUGGUGUUAGACUCAUGGGAUUAAAGAAAGAGACUCGUGAUCCCAUUCUGACAAGCCACAAACUUCAUGGGACGAUGAGUAUCUGUUUCUCAGGGGAAAUAUAAACAAUAAGUGUGAGAGUUUUAGCAGAGAACGUAUUAAUAUUACGUUGAAAAUUGUAUUGUUAAGGAGUAAAAGAGAAAAUAGUGUAACUAAUUUUAAAGAAACCCUCAAGAAUUUGAGGGUGCUCUUAUAAAUGAAAGUUAUUGAAUAUGGCCAAAACACAACACCUCGGUGAAUUUAAAAGAGUAGAAGUUUUAAAAGACCUGAUUUUAAAAGAAUGACUGAAAAUAGCGAAGCAAAUAUUCAAAGAAUUAUAAAAGGAAUAUCAAAGUAAACUAGAAAAUAACAAACAGAACAAUUUGUAAAAAUGAAAGCCAUAAAUAAUGAAAUGUAGGAGAAGACACAGUGCAAAGGAUAUAUAAAGCCAAAAGUUCAUUUUUAAAAGGCAAAAAGAGAAAGAGAAGAAGAGAGAGAGAGAUAAACUUCUGGUAAGGCAUUUAAAGGAAAUAGAAGAGAAAGAGAAAAAAGAAAGAAAAAGGCAUAGAGUAUGAGCCAUGAGAACGGAAACAGAAAAGAGAAAAAGACUUAUAAUAGAAGAUUAUAUACUACUCCAAGGCAACAUAUUCACUGAUAAAGAAAUGGAUGUUAUCCGUCAAGAAUAAACUAUCAAAAUUGACUUUCAAAAAGUAGAAAACUUCAACGAACUAAUAGAAAUAUCAGGAAUGAAAUUAAACAUCUACCAUUUGAAAAGUGGACAAGAAUUAUGGCCUCCAGCUCCAUCCGUCUUGCUACAAAGGACAAUAUUUUAUUCUUUUCUAUUGCUGUGUAGUAUUCCAUAGGAAUAUAUGUACCAAGUUUUUUUUAAUCCAAUGUACUUUUGAUGGGGAUCUGGGUUGAUUCCAUGUCUUUCCUAUUGUGAACAGUGCAGCAAUGAACAUCCUAGUGCAUGUGUCAUUUUGGUAGAAUGAUUGGGUAUUUACCUAGUAAUGGCAUUGCUGGGUCGAAUGGCAACUCUGUUUUAAGUUCUCUAAGAAAUUUCCAGACUGCUUUCCACAGUGCAAUAAUCCUAAGCAAAUUAAUGCUGUAACAGAAAAUCAAAUAUCACGUUCUCACUCAUAACUGGAAGAUAAGCAUUGACCAUACGUGGACAUAAAUGUGGGAACAAUAGACACUAUGGACUCUAGAGGGUGGAGGGAAAGGGGCUGGGUUAGAAAACUACCUAUUGGGUGCUAUGUUCACUACCAGGGUGAUGGGAUCUGUCUGUACUGCAAGACUCAGCAUCAUGCAAUAUUCGCGUGUAACAAAUAUGCACGUGCACCACCUUUAUCUAAAAGGAAAGCUGAAAUUCAAAAAUAAAAAGUAGCCAAAAUUAGAUUAUUUUACAUUUCAAUUCUACAUAAGCCAAAAUCAAACACAUAAUUUUAAUAGUAGACUUUGGUAACAGAUGAAAAGAUGUUAAUGCCAAAUCUGGUAAAGAAAUAACAAAAAGAGUGUUACUGACCAUAUUGGCUUAUGAAUACAGAUGAAAAAAUUCUGAAUAAAAUAUUCAGUAGCAUAUGAAAAGAAUGUGAACAUGAACAGUUUGUUUUAGAAAGGCCAGAAUGACUUUGAUCAGAGGAUCUUUUAGUGUAAUAAAUUAAAGGAGGAAAAAAUUACAUGAGUGUAUAAAUUGCCAUGAAAAGACAAAAAUGAAAUAACAUAAAAUUUAUCCUUCAUUCUAAAUAUAAUUUCUGUGAAAGUGGGAACAAUAAGAAAUGCUCUAAACCUGUAAAGACAGAAUUAAAUGUAAUUCCAAAUGUAAGUGUUUAUAGCUAUUUCAUUAAAAUCAGGAAUGAGACAAGGAUAGAACUAUUAUUAUGGUUACUUGGUAUUGUUUUCUUAGGUUGUCCAUUAUGCAAUAAGGCAAGAAACUAAAAAUCCAUACAAAUAUUGGCAAAGAAGCAGCAAAUUACUUUGUAGAUUACAGUAUUACACAUUUAGAAAAUCGAAGAGACUUAGACAAAAAACAAAAACAAGUAACACCCCACACAAACAAACACGAUUUUAAAGCAUAGUGUGACAUAUUUGGAAAUCAAGAAUAUAAAUAGAAAGCAAUAAUAAAAUAAGAAUGUUCAGAAAUAGAAAAGGAAAAAUAAUUUCAUUAUCUUAAAAAAUAUAUAAAAUACCUAAGGAUAAACUUAAUGGAAAAUCACGUAGUUUACCACAGGAAAACACUAAUAUUUUACCAGGUGGCAUAGAACACAAACUGAAAAAAGUGAGAGAAAGACCAUAUUUCUUGACAAAAAUAUUGAGUGUCACAAAGAUAUUAAUCCUUCCACAAUUGUCUUAAAAAGCUCCUCCAAUACAAAUCACAAUUGCAAUACUUAGUUGGGGAAAUUGGGGAACUGAAAAAUUAAUUUUUGUUCAUAUAGCUCAGAAGUUUAUAAGAAGUAGGAAAGUAAGAAAAAGAUUAGUGAAGGGUGAUUUGCUUUAUUAGAUAUUAAAAUUUACUACAAAGUAAUGAAAUAGCAUGAGAAAAGACUAGAAACAAAUACAGAAAUAGCUACAAAAAUAUAUAAAAAUGUUCUAUGACAAAAUAGACAUCUAUGUUUCAGUAGCGGAAUGACUUAUUUAAUAAAUAGCACUAACAUAAUUAACCAGACAUAAGGGAGAUAAAUAUAAAAGAAUGUUAACUCAUGCUAUUCAAAAAUAUAUUCCAAAUAGAAUGAAGUUUGAAAUGUCAAAGGUAAAAAUUAACUCACUGUAAGAUAAAGUAAAAAAAAAAACACUUGUAUGAUCUUGGAUUAGGAAAAAUCUUCCUAAUUAUUAAGAAAAAAAAUUCCAAAGCCUAGAAAUCAUAGUGAAAAAGAUAAUAUAUUUGAUUACAUGAAAAUUAAAAAUUGCUUCAUGUGAAAAUAUAUCAAUAACAUAGAAAAUAAUUCUCAAUUGGGGAAGAAAUUUGUAGCAUACACCUUGUGUUAGUAUCCCUCAUAUCCAAAACACAUAGAGAAUUUUAAGAAUGACACAAAAUCCCAGUGCAAAAAUGGUCAAACAAUAUAAACCAUUCAGAAGUAAACCCCGAAUGACUGAUAAACAUAUGAAAACAUAUGAUGAAUAUCACUAGUCAGGGAAAUGUCACUUAAAUCUACAAUAAGAUGCCAUUUUUCACCCACCAGUUUGGCAUAAAUUAAAAGAGGGAUAACAUUCAGUGCUGGUGAGAAUGUGGGAAACAAUUCUUCCACAAAUUGUGAAUGGAAAUAAUACUGUGGAAUCCUUUGGGAAGGUAGUCUGGCAGUGCCUACUUAGGAUAAGAUAAACUCUGACUUGGAAGUAUCCCUUUUGGAAACCAACUGUAUUGAGAAAAGUUUCCAGGAUGUAAAGACAUGUAUACAAGGAUGUUUAUUGAAGCAUUGUUUGUAGUGGCAAAGAAAUAUGAACAAUUUGAACCCAACAGGAGGAGAAUGACUGACUAAAUAGCAUUGCAUUGACUCUAUGGAAUGCCACAGUUAUUAAAACAAACACAUUAGUGCUGUGUUGAUUCACUCAAAGCAAUGUCCAUAUGUCAACGGCGAAUUAAAAAGUGAUGACAGAAGAGAUCAUAACUGAAUAUCCGUUUGUGUGUUAAUAUGGGCAAGGACACUGAUUACCCCAAAGGGUAGGAAUGGAGGAGAGGAGGGCAAAGGAGGUGAGAGGUUAUUAACUUCUUAAAAUCAUGUUGGAUUUUUCCACUUGUAUAAUCAGCAUGUAUUAUCUUUCUGAUUAAAAACCAACAAAGAAAGAAUUAA